CCUGAGAAUAUUGCAGGGAGGACAAGAUCAAAACAGAAGCUGUAGAAUUCUAGCUGUUGCCUUGUUGAUGUGUUUAUGAUCAGAGUGCUGGAAGUACUAAUUAUACUGGGUUUUGGUUGAGUACUUAUGCCAGUUGACUUGUCUUGUGGUGUCUCCUAAUGUGUGAUUGGAUCAUCUCGAAGCAGGUGUGGAAAUUUGUAAAUGAUUUGCAUAUAUUUUUAUGGGGUUUCAUGGGGUAAUUUGUUAAUGUUUAGUAUGUCCUUAAGUAGGAGGUUUGGAAACUCAUGUACAGGCAAUUGUGCAUCCUUGUCUGGCUUAGGGGUCGUGUGGUUGUUACUUUAUUAAAAGUUGGUAUUUUGCAUGGUCACAUGGAAAUAUCCCUACCUUGGCGUUGAGAAACGUUGAAAGUAGGCAACAUUUUUAUUGCUCUUUGGCAAUCAAAUGAGGAUGUGUUUCUUCUUGUCAUAUUGUAUGUUUAACAAUGGAGUGAGGCUUUUUGUGCUUUUUGACGUUGGCAUUGGUGUGGACAUUCCCAUUCAUAGGGU
rnacentral:misc_RNA from 1 species